rnacentral:rRNA from 1 species
UGGGGAAUAUUGCACAAUGGGCGCAAGCCUGAUGCAGCCAUGCCGCGUGUGUGAAGAAGGCCUCGGGUUGUAAGCACUUUCAGCGAGGAGGAAGGUGGUGAGCUUAAUACGCUCAUCAAUUGACGUUACUCGCAGAAGAAGCACCGGCUAACUCCGUGCCAGCAGCCGCGGUAAUACGGAGGGUGCAAGCGUUAAUCGGAAUUACUGGGCGUAAAGCGCACGCAGGCGGUUUGUUAAGUCAGAUGUGAAAUCCCCGGGCUCAACCUGGGAACUGCAUUUGAAACUGGCAAGCUAGAGUCUCGUAGAGGGGGGUAGAAUUCCAGGUGUAGCGGUGAAAUGCGUAGAGAUCUGGAGGAAUACCGGUGGCGAAGGCGGCCCCCUGGACGAAGACUGACGCUCAGGUGCGAAAGCGUGGGGCAGCAAACAGGAUUAGAUACCCUGGUAGUCCAGCGCUGUAAACGAUGUCGAUUUGGAGGUUGUGCCCUUGAGGCGUGGCUUCCGGAGCUAACGCGUUAAAUCGACCGCCUGGGGGAGUACGGCCGCAAGGUUAAAACU